GUUUGUUUCCUUUCCACAGAGAAGACAACAGCUCUGGAUUCUAAUAAAACGAAACUUGGCAGAGUCCCAAGCAAGUUCUGGGACUGUACUCAGCUUGAGCAUCUCAUUUAUCUCACAGACUUGUCUGUGUGGUUCCAGAGGUCAGUCCCAUGGCCCUGCAGAAGUUAAAAGGGAAUGGGGAGAAGUAAUGACAGAGCUGGUGACACCUUUGAAUCCUCUCAAGUGGAUCCAUAGCCCAAGUGGUGCAUCCUGCCCUACCAAAGGUUUUAGAAGCACUUCUACUCCACAUCUGUCUGUUUGGGCUCAGCCCAGAAACCGUCAGUGAACUCUGAUAAAUUGAUAACACUGCACUUGAACAGUGACAUUAAUACCUAACCUGCUGGCAGAAUGGGCUUUGUUAUGAGUGCUUUACCCAGAUGGCACAGACAGUAAGCUGAACUUGUCCUCUCAUGGCUUUCCCUCCCCAGAUGGCUGCAGAGGUCAGACUGUUAGAGCUGCCCCAUGCAGAAUGAAUUGUGGUGUAAGUGAACCUCAAGAGAGCUGUCCUGACCUGGAUGCAAAUAUGCUUUGUGUGACAUUGCACUCUUACUUUCCUUCACUUCUGCCAUUCCUAUCAAGACCAUGCCAUUGUGUAAGAGACACGGCAGUUCUGUUGGGAGCUGAGCUACAGUUUUGUCCCAGUAAUCAAAUACAGAAGCAAUCUAACUUUGCUCGAGGCAAGCAUGCAACAGGGAGGUGAGAGAAAAGGAUGUGCUGGUUGGCAAGAGAGGUGAGACGUGCAGAGUCAGGCAGAGGAUUGUACAUGUUUUGAGUACCACACAUCCAAUCUGUGAUGCGGAUGUGAGGGAAAGUUUUGCCUUUGGAGAGCUGAGGAGUCUGCAAAACCAUACAAAGAGGUGGAUAGAUAACCUCCUUCAUAUUGCCUAGGACUGGGUUUAGUCAUCCAGCUACUCAGUCAAAAUUUGUCGUCUGCUCAUUUAUAAGAGAUAAUUCACAGAUCAUAUGUUAUUUCCCCGGACCAUCAUUCUCUUUUACAUCAUAUCUUGUGUAAAAGGUAGAAGGGAAACUUUACUGUAUAUUGAAACUUUACCAUAUAUUACCUUUUGUAACAAAAAUGGAGAAGCACACUGUGUGUGAGGCCUCCUCACUGGACUUGACGGUGUUUCAUUUCAUCUGUGCCUGAAUUUGGAAGCAGUAGAGUUUCAGCCACUCACCUUUCAUUUCAAGGUUUCUGAAUUGCUUUAAUGAAAAAUGACUUGAUUUUAAAGAUGAAAGGUCAGACUGUGACAUCAAUUUAAUUGGAUUUGGUUGUGGCCACUUUGACUUUCAUUUGUAAUAGGAAAAGCAGAUUUAGAGGAUUUUAAUCACUCUAAAACUCC